rnacentral:rRNA from 1 species
UACGUAGGGGGCAAGCGUUGUCCGGAUUUAUUGGGCGUAAAGAGCGUGUAGGCGGCUAGGUAGGUCCGUUGUGAAAACUCGAGGCUCAACCUCGAGACGUCGAUGGAAACCAUCUAGCUAGAGUCCGGAAGAGGAGAGUGGAAUUCCUGGUGUAGCGGUGAAAUGCGUAGAUAUCGAGAGGAACACCUGAGGUGAAGACGGGUUGCUGGGCCGACACUGACGCUGAGUGCGCGAAAGCCAGGGGAGCAAACGGG